CCCCCAGUAACUGCGAGUGAAGAGGGAAGAGCUCAUCAUUGGAAUCUGGCAGCAAUUGUGCUGUCCGAGUUGUAGAUGAGAAGAGUGGGUCAUCUGGACUGCGUGGUGUCCAAGUACAAUAGGCCGUCAGUGGGACAUCAUAGAGGGUGACAAUCCCGUCCUUGACAACCAACGUACGAGUCCAUUACGAUGCCUAUCUCAGAGAGUCGAGCAGUUUGGGAUUUGCUGCUUAAACAUGGGAGGUAGAUUCCUUCUAAAGCUAAAUACAGGCAAGAGACCGAUAGAGAACAAGUACCGCAAGGGAAAGAUGAAAUAGAACUCUGUGAAGGGAGUCAAAAAGACGUGAAAUUGUUGCGAGAGAAGCGAUUCAAGUCAGCGUAGCUAGGCCCAUGAAGCUUUUUGCUUUGGACUAGCUUUGCCAGCGGUCUUGUCUGUAGACUUGACUUUUUGACGUGCCCAGCCCGGUCUAACGGGCAGGCCCCUCUGGGGCCCAGUGGCAUGGCUGGUGGAAUGGCUUGCAAUCGACCCGUCUUGAAACACGGACCAAGGAGUCUAACAUGUGUGCGAGUAUAAGGGUGGCAAACCUGUAUGCGCAAAGAAAGUGAUAGCCUUUAUGGCUGAGAAUGGCCUGAUGACCAGACAAGCAAUAUUAUGUUCCUCGUACGGUCAUUGCCCAAGUCCCAUGGUCAGAUCCCAUGGACAUGGAGUUAGAGCAUACAUGCUAGGACCCGAAAGAUGGUGAACUAUGCCUGGACAAAGCGAAGCCAAAGGAAACUCUGGUGGAGGCUUGUAGCGAUUCUGACGUGCAAAUCGAUCGUCUGAUCUGGGUAUAGGGGCGAAAGACUAAUCGAACCAUCUCAUAGCUGGUUCCUGUCGAAGUUUCUCUCAGAUAGCAGAGACAUUGUGGAAGUUGCAUGUGGUAAAGCGAAUGAUUAUUGACUCUGGGGCUCAAAUGGGCCUCAAUCUA
rnacentral:rRNA from 1 species